GCUCAGACUGCUCAGGAGAAUUCCUUUUAUAUUUCUCCUUAUAAGCAGUGAGCAGGACUAUCAGUCAAGUGAAUGACUUUGGUAAUGGAGUGGGUUUGAUGAAAUAGCCACCUCAGUGUGUCAGGUCACACUGCAAGGAAGGAACCUGCCUCCACAUUCGUGCUUCAGCCUCCUGCUCUGGCUCCUUUCUGACUUCAGAGCCAGAAUUCUGGGCACCGUAAGCAUGGCAACGGCCACAUUGGGAACCUGAGGUCCUGCAGCAUCCUGCUGGGUAGAUCUGCCAUAGUCUUUGGGACAGAAAGGUGCUGUUGCUCGUGGAUAAUUCCACAUAGCUCUUAAACCAAGUGACUGGCAUAUGAGAAACCUGCUCUGACUAGCACCGCAUAUAGCAAGCAGUGUCAGUUGUAAUGGAAAUGCUCUUCUCUCUGUGACCCUGCUGAUACCCUUCUGGAGCUGUAAUCUUUUUGUCAUUGUCCCUACACAGGGAAAGAGCCUAGCAUCUUCUCAUGCUCUCAAGACGGACUCUCAUCUUCAGCUCAUCUGAAUAAAUGGUAACAGGAACUUCAGGGAUCUCCCAUGAAGACAUUCCCUUUCUUGCCACUGCCUCCUUUAAGCUCCCACUUCUCCCUUUCUGAAGAUAACUGCUGACUAGGAAGCCAGCUGUUCUUCUCUAGACUCUGGAAAGAGUGGGACUUAGAUGAUAUCAGAUAAGACCAUCAACUUUGCUCGUUCUUCCCCACAGCAGGAGAAGUCUGCAGGGAGCUGAAUUGCUUUGGAGGGCAGGUGGUCUUGGCCAGGACUCUGAAGGAAAUGCUUCACAGGGGGUGAUAUGUAUGCACAGGUCAUGCCUGAGCAGGCUGGUGAUAUCUGCUUUGCUUGCCUGUUUUGUUGCACCUCAUCACUUAGAUUUUAGAGCUGGCAGGCUCUGUGCUUUAAGUGGAAGAAGAGAAUGGUUGCAAGUCUACAACCAGAAUUUACAAGGAGGUGAUGAAGGAAAGAGAAGAUCCAUAAGGCUUGAGCUGUAAACUGGGUUGUUUUUUUUUUUCACAAGCCAGAUUCUCAAAGCUGAGGAAGAAAAAUACAGUAAUAUGGAUUCUUCCCCAAGAAUGCCCCUGUGUUACAUUAGCUGUCAUUCAGCUCCCUAACCAGCAAGAAUUUUGGAUUAACUCUCUCUGUCCUUUCUCUUGUGUCUCAAAAAAGAGAGAAAACUAUCUGCUCUCCACUGUGGCUCUUGUAAUGGUGCGCUCUAUCAGUUCCAUGCCCAGUUCAAGCAGCAUCUCCUGCAGAAAUAGUGAGAUGACAAUUUGCCACGAUGGCUUUUGGUCCUGGAAGCUCAAAAGCUCCUCAUUGAUGAUCUUUGCCAGUCUUCACAUUAACCAUGGAAAUGUCAAAAUAUAUCAUAACAAGAGCAGCUCAUCAGCCAACCCCAAGUACUAGAGAUUGUAGAUUUCCAGUCCUACUUUCUGGGCCUCCUCACUUUUGCAGCAGUUCCACCAGCUAGGAAUAACUGCACAAAACUAUGACAUAAUGCCUACUGAAAUUCAAAUCUUUUCAUUCCCUUCCAGCCAAUUGGAACUCACCCCUGAUGUUUUCCAGCUCCCUGCUUCUGUGAAUGAGACUGUAUCCAUGUGAAAAUAUGCUUGGAUCACCCACUGUGAUUUAUUCAUCCGGAGGUGUUCUGCACCCCUGACAGGGCAUCUUGGCUGUUUGUUUAAUGGGACCUGAAGAGCCAUAGCUGGCAGCUCAGUGAAUUAAGGUGAAACCCCAGGAAGUUUCUGGAAGACAAGCAAUGAGAGUAUCUUGCCUGUGUCCACACUACAGCUUUGCAAUGUGACAGACUUAAAGGGCUGUAUUGAUUUACACUUUAGCCUGUUAAUAAGUCUGUAAAACCUGGGAACUGAUGCUUUCCAGUUAUUUUCUGGUGUACAGGUCUAAAGGAAGCUGAACCCUUGUAUAAUGACUGUGUAAAAGGCUGGUAUCCUUUACUCCUCAGCAACUGUAUGCACAUAUGUGUUUUGGCAGCAGGAGAUGUUUUCUUAUUUCCCAUUCUAAACAGGCAUGCCUGCAGGGAGCACAGGAGCAAUGUGAUGGAGAAACACUGGCAUUGCUUUUGCUUUCUUGGCAUAGCCACCAAAAAAAAAGCCCACAGCAGAAGACGAUGGUAGGGAAUGGGGCGGAGUUAAUAUUUUUUCCCUGUUUAAAGCAUCAGUCGGUCAGCUAAGGGCAAGGGCACCCCUAAGAACCAUCUCAAAUCGUAGUUUUAUAGGCCAGAGAAGGACGGAAGGGGACUGUUUCAGCAGUAGGGAAGGAUCUGAAAGCUAUAUUCAGAGGCUGAUUGGAACAUGGUAGGGCCAGCCCUAGAAACAUCAAAGGCUACAGCAUGGAGUUAGUUCAUACAGCUUAGCCAGCUGGAUUAGACCCAUCAUUAGGAUGCAGAACAAAGCCUUUCUUUUUGGCAAACAGGAGCAAAAAACAGAAUGAAAAUGGAAAUAGGUUCGGAGGCCUGAAUUCCCUAUUCAACGUGAGAUCCCUUAUUUGCGUAGGAACUCUAGUUCGCCUGUCUUUGUUUGAAAUAAAGGUAACAGGAAAUUUCAAGGCA